rnacentral:rRNA from 1 species
UACGAAGGGGGCUAGCGUUGCUCGGAAUCACUGGGCGUAAAGCGCACGUAGGCGGACUCUUAAGUCGGUGGUGAAAUCCUGGAGCUCAACUCCAGAACUGCCUUCGAUACUGAGAGUCUCGAGUCCGAGAGAGGUGAGUGGAACUGCGAGUGUAGAGGUGAAAUUCGUAGAUAUCGAGAGGAACACCGGUGGCGAAGGCGGCGAUCUGGACGAUGACUGACGCUGAGACGCGAAAGCGUGGGGAGCAAACAGG